GAGGGAUUUGCUGCAGACUGCAGCAGUUCUUGUGAUGUUGGCAGAACCCCUGGAGCUCCGCUUGCAGCAAUGGUCUGUCUGAACGGAGUGUCUGAAAAGGAGCUGUCAUGGAACGGAGCGCGUGCGCCGAUAACAGCCGCCCAUCCGAGCUGGAUGGCAGCUGACUGCUCUUGGAUCCAUCGCGCACACAUCUGUAGCUGAGAUCCUCCUUUCCAAGCUGCUGCUCCUCGGAGUGCUUCACAGAGGUCAUUCCUCUUUGCAAGGCUCGUUCCCUCCUGCCUUGCAGAUCUCCCUGCCAUUUUCUCCCCUCCUGCAUGUCAGGGCAGCAGGAGGAGUUGCAGCAGUCCCAGGACACGAGUGCACAUGUGCACCACUGCCUUUUUUUUUCACAGGGUGGGAAAACUUUUGGGAAGUGCUGAGAGAUCGCCCUUUUUUCCUGCUCCUGAGGCCAGUUUCCUUCCUCACAGAUUGCAGGUCCCAGGUGGUGCAAACAGCCAGAGCAGCCCAACCCUGCCGAUCUUCCCAAGGCAGCUCCGUGCAUCCCAUGCCACCAGCUCUUCCCUUUGCACUGAGAGAGGAAACUGAGGUACAGGUCCGACCUUCUCCUCUUGCAAAGGAGAUCUGCAGACAGAUGGGUCAAAUACCCCCCAUGCCAGGCAGUAACUUUGCUUCCCUACUGCAGCCAGGAGCCGGGCAGGAGUGCGGCUGGUUGCACUCAGAGCAAUGAAAAGAUAAAUUCAAGCUAAAGCAGUCCACACAUUUCUAUGUUCACUAUGGGAACAGAGGUGUGUGGGUAAAUGCCAAUUUUGCCCCGCUCCUGCUGCACUUCUGCUCGCUUGCUGCAGGUGUGGCAUUCACCCCAAGCACCACAUCGAACCCUUUUGGCUCUGCAGAGGGAGGAAAGGUGGAAUGCGGAGCGUGAGAGGAGCAGCCACCUUUCAGGCCAACAGCUGCUUUGGGGGAUGGGUUGGAUAAAUGUGCAGGGUUUCCAAUCAGCCCCACACACCCCGGUCAGAAGGCUUCACCGGAGCACAGCGUGGGGGAAUGGCUGCUGAUAACACUGCGUCCAUCCCAGACAUCCCCACAAACUUUCCUGGAGGAACCCACACCACCAGAGGGGACCGCAGUGGGUCACAACCUGACCCGACCCCAAAGGGCAGCGAUGCAGAUGGCAGUGGGAAAACCAGGUCGGAGUGCAUUGGAAAGAGCUGAAAGUCAGAGGGAUCUCCUCCAAGCCACCUCUCGCUGCUUUUGGAUGCUAGGAGGAACCAACUCUGCGUUGAAGCACUUGGCACAAGGCAGGACCAAGGUGUGUUCUCCCCAUGCCUCGUGAAGGGGGAGCAGGGAUGUGGCCCACCUGGGAAUUUAGCUCUGGGCAUUAAGGCUUCACCAACGACCAACAGCCCAUCACUGCAUGCUGGCCAGCAGGGUAGCAUCGGGAUGCAUGGGUCACCGAGGGACAACCCCACGGUCUGUGGGUUUUAAGGCAUGAGAUGAGUGGGGAAAAGUGUCCCUGGAAAGGAGAU
rnacentral:lncRNA from 1 species